AUUGAACGCUGGCGGCAGGCCUAACACAUGCAAGUCGAGCGAGCGGCGGACGGGUGAGCAAUGUAUGGGAAACUGCCUGAUGGAGGGGGAUAACUACUGGAAACGGUAGCUAAUACCGCAUACCAUCAGAUGGGCCCAGAUGGGAUUAGCUGGUAGGUGGGGUAACGGCUCACCUAGGCGACGAUCCCUAGCUUGUCUUAGAGGAUGACCAGCCACACUGGAACUGAGACACGGUCCAGACUCCUACGGGAGGCAGCAGUGGGGAAUAUUGCGCAAUGGGCGAAAGCCGGAUGCAGCCAUGCCGCGUGUGUGAAGAAGGCCUUCGGGUUGUAAAGCUCUUUUAGCGGGGAGGCGUUACCCGCAGAAGAAGCACCGGCUAACUCCGUGCCAGCAGCCGCGGUAAUUC
rnacentral:rRNA from 1 species